AUUCAGCGAUACCUACACGAGGGACCGGUAUAUAAAGCUCUGACACUCGCCCUGUCACCUUGAUAAUCAUGACCAAAGGUAACAAUUGGUUGUGCUUCUUGGUAAUAACUGCAGUUGUUGGAUGGAAAGGCGGUGAUGGUUCCCUCCGCCUGGCCGAAGAGGCCCUUCACAGGCUGGGCAUUGACCCUAACCGUCCAGUUCAAAGGGAAACGCAGAUUUACGGAUAUCUCCCGACAAAGACCCCAGGGUGCAGUUUUAUGACUCCCUGUCAGAAAAUUCAAACGGAAGAGUGGAUUUCGACCUUGAGCAGGGUCCUAUCGUCGGCAAUGUCACCAAGGUGGAGGUUGCAUUCACCGGUCAUCUCCAUAGAAACUUUAUCAUUGAUAUCACAUCUCCAAGUCAGCUGAGCAGAGUAGUCACCACUGCACGGACUCCACACGGCAAGGUGGCAGACAUUACGACUCUCGUUGCAGACAAGCUUUCUGGUUCUACUCUUUCUCUCUCCAUCUCCGUCAAGGGUGCAGGGAACUGGAUCAGACAUCUACGUCCCGUUCUAGCAAUAUUUCUGGAUCUUGAUGCUUCUGUUUUGAAUCGACGUCGAAAGCGUUUUAUUGUUCAGACAGGAAAUGGUUCGGUUUCCGCGGAUACGGCUGAAAGUGGAAAUUACUGCCGUUUAGUACCAUGGACGGUUAGUCUUCGGGAUCUGGGGUGGUAUCCACAAUUUAUUUACUCCCCAGAAUCUUAUCAGGCAAAUCUUUGUUCCGGUGGGUGUCCCCGAGCAAUAUUAGAGAGUUAUUUCAAUGUCACAAACCACGGAAUCUUCAAGGCGAUGUUGGAGAAGAAACUUUGUUGUACCCCUAUUGAGUACAACGAUCAGUCUCUGCUGUUUGGAAAUACAAUCCAGACGGUCAAGGGCAUGUCUGUGGCAAGGUGUGGGUGUCGCUGACCACCGUCAAAUCCCAUGAGCCAUGCCCAUCAGCGAGAGAGAGGCUCACAGGAAGUGAAGUCGUAUGGCGUUUGUUGGUGAAACCCAUAAAAGCAUGGAGUAACUGUCUAGCAAGCAAGUGACAUAUAAAUAUGAGCAAAUACUUAACAUCAUUCAAAUAUUCCAGAAGUGUAUAUUUGUGUAGUGAAUAUAUAGUGAAGAUUAUUUACCUUGGAAACCAUAGGUAAAAGAAUUGAGCAUAAAUCUUUGUGUACUAAUGUUUGGAAUAUCAGCGGAAGUGACACAAAAUUUCAUGUUAAAGACAGCAUUUUUUUUGCAUAUUUUCCAACUUAAAACGCAUACUAUGUGUGACAUUAUAUAAAUGAUCUGGUACUUAUAGAGGUACUGACUUGAUGGUCGUGGCCAUAUCUAGGUCAUAUUUACCUCCUUAUUAAGAAGAGCUCUGUAUAGAGAUAUAAACAUGCUAGC
rnacentral:misc_RNA from 1 species